ensembl:lncRNA
CACUACCUUCGGCUGAUUCUACCAGCAGAUACUGAAAGGACUCUGUUAGUUCGAGUGAAAGUAGCAGUUCCUCCUGAAGGUCAGAGAUUGCAGCAUCUGAGGGCCUCUUCAAAAGAAGACGUAGUUGAUGAAGGCGUUCUGGAGCAGGACCAGAAAGACCACGACCAAGCAGCCUUGAGAUCUUAGGCAGCGUCUCCCUGAGGUCCCUCUCUAUCUCCCCACACAUCCACCAACCACUGGAACACAUCUCCAAAGUUCUGCUGGACCAGCUCAGCUUCCCCUCAGAAGAAGUGGCGCCACCUGCCAGAUGAAGGAGCCUUUUGAGAGGCAGCUGGCAUCGUGAUUGGACUGUACUUUGGUCUGUUCCAAUCCAGCUUCAGCUCCAGAGACGGCAGGCGGGACAAGUCAACGGAGGCCGGGUGGACGAAGACAUGCAGCUGAGUACAAUCUAGAAAACAACAGAGGAGGAGGAAACAAACAUAGUAGUAUAGUAGAAAAUAUACAUAGUAUAUUGUAUAAAUAACAAGUCAAAGGAAAGAGACAUACAUUGUAGAAUUGUAGUAAUUGUGAACUGACUGAUUUACUGAUUAUCAGUAUUUUAUUUUUUACCGGUAAUAAAU